GACGAACGCUGGCGGCGUGCUUAACACAUGCAAGUCGAACGGAAAGGCCCUGCUUUUGUGGGGUGCUCGAGUGGCGAACGGGUGAGUAACACGUGAGUAACCUGCCCUUGACUUUGGGAUAACUUCAGGAAACUGGGGCUAAUACCGGAUAGGAGCUCCUGCUGCAUGGUGGGGGUUGGAAAGUUUCGGCGGUUGGGGAUGGACUGGCGGCUUAUCAGCUUGUUGGUGGGGUAGUGGCUUACCAAGGCUUUGACGGGUAGCCGGCCUGAGAGGGUGACCGGCCACAUUGGGACUGAGAUACGGCCCAGACACCUACGGGAGGCAGCAGUGGGGAAUAUUGCACAAUGGGCGGAAGCCUGAUGCAGCAACGCCGCGUGCGGGAUGACGGCCUUCGGGUUGUAAACCGCUUUCGCCUGUGACGAAGCGUGAGUGACGGUAAUGGGUAAAGAAGCACCGGCUAACUACGUG
rnacentral:rRNA from 1 species